rnacentral:rRNA from 1 species
GACGUAGGGCGCGAGCGUUGUCCGGAUUUAUUGGGCGUAAAGAGCUCGUAGGCGGCUUGUCGCGUCGAAUGUGAAAUCUCAGGGCUCAACUCUGACAUUGCAUUCGAUACGGGCAGGCUCGAGUUCGGUAGGGGAGACUGGAAUUCCUGGUGUAGCGGUGAAAUGCGCAGAUAUCAGGAGGAACACCAGUGGCGAAGGCGGGUCUCUGGGCCGAUACUGACGCUGAGGAGCGAAAGCGUGGGGAGCGAACAGG